rnacentral:lncRNA from 1 species
CAAAGCUCAUAGGCUCCUUGUGCAAGCUCUUCACCACCAUGCCCAUCACCGUGUGGGCCGCAACGCUUUGGUGCUCGCUGGGCAGCUUGUGCUGGUGGAUCUGCCACCAGCCUAUGGAGCCCUGGAACACCCGGAGGCGUCCCCCCUCUCUUCCACAUUUCACGUCACCUGCAAGCAGCCUGGGGAUCCCAGAAUAUUUCCAUCUCUUUUUGUGAGCACUUCCAGAUGGGAUGUUCCCCUGUGACCAGGCCUACAUUUUCCAUCUCCCAAGCACGGCCUUCACACGGGGGAGCAUCCCACAAGAAAGGGGUUUCAGGAUGUGUGCGUGAGGCAGGGUGUCCCCAGGGCCACGCAGCAUCACGGAGAGCUCAGCACGCACACCCUCACCAAGCAGCGAGCACACCUUGCCUCCACUUGUGACCGAGACCCAGGAAACUCCCCACAAGCGACUUGGAAGCCCUACAUCUCUGUAUGCCACUCACGUUCCUCACCCGCCCUCCCGUAUCACAGCCUCCCCAUAUCUGCCUGGCUGCCACCACCCUGCUGGUUCUUUUAGGCCUUUUAAACCCGCCCCGCCUCUCGUGAGGUACCACGUAAUCUGCAGUGGACACCGGGGAGGAGCCCUAGGGAGAAGCGGUAACCAGGGGGAUAAGCAGAAAGGCAGCGGAGAUGACCAGGGCCCACCAGGUUACAUCUCAGGAAACCCACACGCAUCAAGUUUGGAACUUGCUCUGGAGCUUUUAGGGACCGAGGGAGAGACACAGCAAGAGCAAAGGCUGCCCGUGGGCUGGAGGUGGGCCAGAUCUGCCCAUCCCUGCAAGCUGCUCCAGAGCAAGUCUUGGGACUGCACACGGAGGUGUCACCACCCGCCGCUUGAGAGACCGGGAGAUGCUCCGGAAAAGAAAGGCAGAAGCCCAGGAGAAGGAUUCAAUUCAGUGGGCUAUAGGGGAGCAGGAGAGGAGCAAGCAGCAGAGAAGACGACGAGGAGCCAGGCGAGGACGGGGCCGAAAAACCGUGGUGAAGCCCACACCGAAGCCAGAACCAGAGCUGGACCCUGAGCCCCCGGCGCAGGAGGAGGCUGAGCUGGUGCCCCCCGUGCCAGCGCACCAAGCCCAGCCACCCAUGAUGGCCAUGCAGGAGAUGCUCGGUGGGGUGCAGAUGGGAGCACUGGAGGGAGAGAUGGCAUCUGGGAGCCAGGGUCCUCUGGGUGAAGAGGAAGUGCUGAAACUAGCGGAAGAAAUACCAGAAGAACUGAAUACUCCCCUGGAAAACGACACAGAGGGUAGCGAAUACUUCCCGUCAGUCCUAUUCUAAGUUUCUCUCUCGAGUUUUACGUUUUCAUUUACAAUUUUAUGUCUGAGAGAAACUCCGAUGAGUGUUGUAGAGAGAUGUAGACCCCCUCCUUCCUGGUGAAUAAUAAAGCCCAGAGUCUCCUGGCCA